rnacentral:rRNA from 1 species
UACGAAGGGGGGCUAGCGUUGCUCGGAAUCACUGGGCGUAAAGGGUGCGUAGGCGGGUCUUUUAAGUCAGAGGUGAAAUCCUGGAGCUCAACUCCAGAACUGCCUUCGAUACUGGAGAGCUCGAGUCCGGGGAGAGGUCGAGUGGGAACUGCGAGUGUAGAGGUGAAAUUCGUAGAUAUUCGCAAGAACACCAGUGGCGAAGGCGGACUCACUGGCCCGGUACUG